GCAUGCUUGCUUCAGGGGUGCAUAUCCUAAAAUACGAAUGAUACAGGGAAGAUUAGCAUGGCCCAUGCACAAGGAUGAUGUGAAACUUCGUGAAACAUUCCAUAUUUUU
ensembl:snRNA Gm26066 U6 spliceosomal RNA